GAUGAACGCUAGCGGCAGGCUUAAUACAUGCAAGGCGAGGGACAGCACAGGUAGCAAUACUGGGUGGUAACCGGCAAACGGGUGCGGAACACGUACACAACCUUCCUUUAAGUGGGGGAUAGCCCAGAGAAAUUUGGAUUAAUACCCCGUAAUAUAGUUGAAUGGCAUCAUUUGAUUAUUAUAGCUACGGCGCUUAAUGAUGGGUGUGCGGCUGAUUAGAUAGUUGGCGGGGUAACGGCCCACCAAGUCUACGAUCAGUAGCUGAUGUGAGAGCAUGAUCAGGCACACGGGCACUGAGACACGGGCCCGACUCCUACGGGAGGCAGCAGUAAGGAAUAUUGGUCAAUGGACGCAAGUCUGAACCAGCCAUGCCGCGUGAAGGAUUAAGGUCCUCUGGAUUGUAAACUUCUUUUAUUUGGGACGAAAAAGGGCCUUUCUAGGUCAACUGACGGUACCAGAUGAAUAGGCACCGGCUAACUCCGUGCCAGCCGCCGCCGUAAGAC
rnacentral:rRNA from 1 species